rnacentral:rRNA from 1 species
GAUGAACGCUGGCGGCGUGCCUAAUACAUGCAAGUCGAGCGAACGGACGAGAAGCUUGCUGCUCUGAUGUUAGCGGCGGACGGGUGAGUAACACGUGUAUAACCUACCUGUAAUACUGAUAUCACUUCGGGAAAGCGGAGCUAAUACCGGAUAAUAUUCUGAACCGCACGGUUGGAAAGUGAAAGACGGUCUUGGUGUCACUUAUAGAUGGUUCCGCGCUGCAUUAGGUAGUUGGUAAGGUAACGGCUUACCAAGGCAACGAUGCAUAGACGACCUGAGAGGGUGAUAGGCCACACUGGAAGUGAGACAGCGUCAAGACUACUACGGGAGGCAGCAGUAGGGAAUCUUACGCAAUGGGCGAAAGCAUGACGGAGCAACGCCGAGUGAGUGAUGAAGGUCUUCGGAUCGUAAAACUCUGUUAUUAGGGAAGAACAUAUGUGUAAGUAAAUGUGCACAUCGUGACGGUACCUAAUCAGAAAGCCACGGCUAACUACGUG